rnacentral:rRNA from 1 species
AAAGCCCAGCACCGAAGCCUGUGACUGUUUGGUCACUAGGCAAUGUGGUGUUCUCCCUAGGUCGUCCUUGGAGUCGGGUUGUUUGUGAUUGCAGCCCAAAGUGGGUGGUAAACUCCAUCCAAGGCUAAAUACUUACACGAGUCCGAUAGCGAACAAGUACCGUGAGGGAAAGUUGAAAAGUACUUUGAAGAGAGAGUAAACAGUGCGUGAAACCGCUCAGAGGUAAACGGGUGGAGUUGAACUGCAAACUCUGAGAAUUCAGCUGGUGAGUGUGGUUUGGGCUUGGUCAAAGUGAUUGGCCUGGUGGGUCUGCUCAGCUGCAGGUCCCUGCCUUCGGGUGGGGAUGUGCGAGGCACUUGUCAAGUGUUGCGCGCCCGCAAGGUAACUCGGAUCAGCUCGCCAGUGCACUUUCUCGGAGUGUUCACCACGACCGGCGCUGCUGCCUGUCUGAUGUGGUCAAACCGGUCUUGCAUUGUCCUUGCGGCUCUGUUUGGUCGGGAUGGCAGGUAACUCGUUGGCUUGUGUGCUGGCCUCGGUUGGCAUGCGUUUGGCUUUCGAGCGUAAUCAGCUGGCUAUGUCAGUACUGUGCAGUGCGUCGGAGACGGCGGCUUGUUGUGGGUGUUCGUGCUUGCUCAUUGACGGCUCCGAGUUUGAUUGUUAUGUUGCCUGUCUCUGAUAGGCCUGGUAAUAGCUCGGUUCUGCUUGGUGGGCAGUUGCGGAUGCUUACAUUUCAGGGCCAACAGUCUGUGGUGUAGUGGUAGACUAUCCACCCGACCCGUCUUGAAACACGGACCAAGGAGAGUAACAUGUGCGCGAGUCAUUGGGCGUUACGAAACCCAAAGGCGCAGUGAAAGUAAAGGCUCGGCUUGUCUGGGCUGAGGUGAGAUCCUGUCGUUCCUCACGCAAGGUACUGCCAAGCGUUUGAGCGGCGGGCGCAUCACCGGCCCGUCCCAUGGCGUGGACACGGUCUUCGGGCUGUGCACCGUCGGGGCGGAGCAUGAGCGCACAUGUUGAGACCCGAAAGAUGGUGAACUAUGCUUGCGCAGGUUGAAGCCAGAGGAAACUCUGGUGGAGGACCGCAGCGAUUCUGACGUGCAAAUCGAUCGUCAAACGUGAGUAUAGGGGCGAAAG